rnacentral:rRNA from 1 species
AGUGAACGCUGGCGGCAGGCCUAACACAUGCAAGUCGAACGGUAGCACAGAGGAGCUUGCUCCUUGGGUGACGAGUGGCGGACGGGUGAGGAAUAUAUCGGAAUCUACCCAAUCGUGGGGGAUAACGUAGGGAAACUUACGCUAAUACCGCAUACGAUCUGAGGAUGAAAGCGGCGGACCGCAAGGCGUCGCGCGAUUGGAUGAGCCGAUAUCCGAUUAGCUAGUUGGUAAGGUAAAAGCUUACCAAGGCGACGAUCGGUAGCUGGUCUGAGAGGAUGAUCAGCCACACUGGAACUGAGACACGGUCCAGACUCCUACGGGAGGCUG